rnacentral:rRNA from 1 species
CAUCACUACGCUAGAUGCAUAUCAAUAAGCGGAGGAAAAGAAACUAACUAGGAUUCCCUAGUAACGGCGAGUGAAGCGGGAAGAGCUCAAAUUUGAAAUCUUCAAGGUUCAACCUUGACGAAUUGUAGUUUAAAGAAGUGUUUUCUGUUAGAGAGUAGGUAAAAGUUCUUUGGAAUAGGACAUCAUAGAGGGUGAGAAUCCCGUAUUUGACUAUUCUUUCUAGCUUUGUGAUACACUUUCAAAGAGUCGGAUUGCUUGGGAAUGCAGUCCAAAAUGGGUGGUAAAUUUCAUCUAAAGCUAAAUAUUGGCGAGAGACCGAUAGCGAACAAGUACCGUGAGGGAAAGAUGAAAAGAACUUUGAAAAGAGAGUUAAACAGUACGUGAAAUUGUCAAAAGGGAAGCGUUUGACACCAGUGUUGUUUUUCCGAAAAUCAAUUAAAAACUGAUUCAUGCUAGGUUGUAUUGACCUCAUCAGCUUGCAAUUUAGUUUUGGGUCUCUUUUUGAUGCACUUUUCGGUUAACAAGUCAACAUCAAUUUCCUUUGCUGUAAAAAGGUAAGAGGAAGGUGGCUUCAAUUUCGGUUGAAGUGUUUAUAGCCUUUUAUCUCUGCAGUCGGGGAGAUUGAGGUCUGCAGCGUAGAUCCUUCGGGGCUAGAUACAUUUAUGCUAAGUUAUAGCUUUUCAUAGACAACUUGUUGACUAUGUUUAGUCAUGUAGCUUACUCGUAAGUGCUAUUUUACCUACGCUUAGGAUGUUGAUAUGCAUGACUGAUAU